GAGAAAAUGACAAGCAAGACAAUGCCAAAAAUGUGGGUCAACCUGGCUGAACUUGAUCAUCAGAGGACUCCUUAUUGGAGUUUAUAUUGCUUUUUAGUGACCCUUUUUACUAUUUUUUGCUUUUUAGAAGCUAUAUUAGAUAGAAUUAAACUAUAAAAGUCAAAAUAAUUAACAAGUCAAGAUCUACAAAUAAGUCAGAUGACCGAAAUCGUAAGGUGAAUCCUUAUUAAAGUUAUUGCCCUUUAAUUACGAUUUUCUAACUUUUUGCUAUUUGUUUUUUUUAUAUGGGAAACUAUAGCAGAUAGACAAAAACUAUAUAUUAUAUAUAUAUUAUAGCAAAACUGAUGAGCAAGACAUUAUCUACUAAAGAGCCAUCAUGGCAGAAAUCUUUCUAGUUGACUUGUUCUUGGAGUUAUUUUAAGAUGUUGAGCCUAUUAUCUCGAAAAGUGUAAUAGAUGCAUACAAAAAUAGAUAGGAACUUGAAAAA
rnacentral:lncRNA from 1 species